GCCACUCAAACUCCAGAGAGGCAGGUAAAAGAUGGUUUCAGGGUACUGCUGAUGCCAUGAGGCAGUUCCACUGGCUCUUUGAGGAUCCUAGAAGCAAGGAUAUUGAGGAUGUCCUGAUUCUUUCUGGGAAUCAUCUCUACUGAAUGGACUAUAUGGACUUUGUUCAAAAUCAUCGCGAGAGUGGUGCAGAUAUUACUUUUUCUUGUCUCCCCAUGGAUGACAGGUAGGUUGGCUUAAUGGUUUUCGAAUUUGUUUCUAGUAUACAUAAUCACAUGAUGUAUAUCUUGAAAUCACUCUGUCAUCUUUCUCUGAAUGAGAAACUAGCUC